UGGUUCGCUCCCAGGCCUUUGCACCGUGCAGAAGAGAUAGCAUUUAUUCAAACUGCAUGCCUGAGGAUGGGAAAAGCUCUCAGAUGGCUAACAGUACCUUUACCAGGACUGUUAGUGGGAAUAGGCAAAGGCUGAGAUAGGAAAGCUGCUGAAGUAACUUGCAUACAGGAAUGUGCUGUUUGCUAGAGCUCUAAUUACAACAAAUAGUGCUGCGUUCUUUUUCAGUGCCAGAUGUUUAGUUGGGGUAAAUCACUGAGUGUAAAUAUUGGUGAAAUUCAAAAGGGAAAAAUAAUACCCAGCCCCCUUCAAUUUAUCUUGUUCAAGAUUUAGUCUGUUAUUUAUUGAAAAUUAUGUUUUCAUGUGGUUGCUGUUUGGAUAUUUUAUUUGCACUUGCUCUUUCAGAGCAAGAGGGCAGAACAAUGGAGAAGGGUAGGCUUGAUCCUUUGCUGAUAUGCAAAGCUGAUACCCCUGUGCACCAUUUUCUGAAUUGUUUAGUUAAUUAUACACAAACCUUAAAAUCUUCCAAGCUUGAAGUGCCUAACACACUUGCUUAAACAUCAAAUCUGUUGUACCUGGAACAAGCCAGUUCAUAGAGAAAUCUGGAAAUGCUCUUUUUCCUUUUGUGUGUUUCUGCUACUUCACGUUUCUGUCCCUCUCUGAUGCUGACCCUCACAGCAUCACAACAUUAAUAACCGCUUUUGAAAGAGGCAGGCAAAGUACAGCUUUCUUCUGCACUUCCUCUUUUUUUUUAAUUUUUAAAAAUUAUUUUUAUUUAUUGCAGUAUUGCACAGAAGGUGAAGCCUGUCCCUACUUCUGCAGGCUCUCAUAUGCAGAGAAGUUUAAUUUUGCUGGAGGCCUGGAGACUCAGCUUUACCCAUAUAUGAGUACCUGCAAGUCCUCGGCUGAAGGGGUGGCCUUGCCCUGCACCAUCAGAGAUGUGAGCUGCAAGCGUUCCACGUGGUCCAGCUGGUGGCCUGAGGGCCAGUUCCAGGCUUCUGCUCUGAUCCAUCCGCCCUCCAGCUUCUUCCCUGGAGGAGAUGGGGAACAGCUGUUGGAGCUACAACUGUACAUUCCAGCAGCUGAACUUGUCCUCCAACACAGAGCCAAAAUGCUGGGGCUGUUGACAGGAGGGACGUCACGAUGCCAAUGGAUUGAUGAAGCCAUGAGUAUAAACAAAAUGUGACUCAGUCACAUUUUAGGAUAUGUCUAUAUUAUUACAGAUUUAUUUUCUGCUAAUUAUUACACUUGAGCUCAUUCUCUGCUCAUCACCACAUGUACCAGCUUUGCAGCAGAUAACACACGCCUGGAUCCAGCCUCCUUGCAAGCACAGUGAAGAUGCCACCUAUCCCAGCAGCCCUGAAAAGUGUCCAUACAGCUACUUCAGAAGAAGGCCAAAUAUGGGACAGGAGACUGCAUAGAGAUUCCUGGAAGAGAACAGACAGACCAAGGUGGUCUGUUGCCCUCUGACUGCAGAAAGGCUUACAUGGCUGAAGGGAAAGCUGUGACCUUGUCCUACGUGCAUGGUAUCAAUUUCAAAGAAACUUUCAUCAGAAGAGAUUUGUCAGCCCUCGGAUGGAAUUUCUGGCCGAGGCCAGAAGGAGAUGGCAAAGUUGGAGUAUCAGGGUCCUGGUCAGGAGUUGAAAAUAAGGAAAAAGAGAGGAAGAGAGACCACAAAGAAAGAGGCAUAUGAAAAGUAAAAAAAAAAAUACAGAGCUGGAGGUGAACCCAAACACUCAGAGGUAAUUUGCCUUGAGGAGCAAGAACCCUUGAGACCUGUGUGUAGACUUUGGAAAAAAGAACCUGUGAACGAUGGUAAAGGCUAUGAACGUACCAUCCCUGUGACAGAUUUUAAUCGCCUUCCCUCCACCUCUGAAAACCUGCCCGGCAAUGUGAAUAUGUGGAAAACGUCUGAAGAAAUUCACCUUUGCUUUUCAAAGAACAGAAAAGAAAUAAUAUAUAAUGCGCCAAAAAGGUUAAAUUUAUCACGCUGGGAAGAGAACUGCAUAUCACAGAAGCCCUGGCGAUACUCUCCUGAGCCACGCUGAAUCUGGAGGUGGAAGUCUCCUUCAGGAGGUCGCCAAGGAUUUGGCACCAGCAGCCUGGCCAUCAAAACAAAGUACAAGUGAUGGCAAUAUAAUCAUUAAGAUAAACUGUAGCCCAAAUGGACUAAAUCCAAGUACUGAUGAAGUCAUUAGAAGCUUUGCUCUUCAUUUCAUUUCUGUAAAAAAGGCUGAGAUCCUGAUUUCCAUGGACUGACAAGCACUAUUUCCAUUGGUUUUGUUGGACAUGCUUCCUUGAACCUACAAAAAAGCUAAGUGAAUAUCAGUUUGGAAUCUUUUAAAUGUGUUUUUAGAGGAUAUUUGCUUGAAGGACAGUUCUUUAUGUGCAUUCUUCUAUCUUUUCCAAAAAGCUUGCCCUCACAGAGAUCAGUAAGAAAGUCCAGAUUACAGGUAGUAUUAUGCUUUAAAUAAAAAUACCUUAACUAAGGCAAAAAAAAAAAAAAAGAAAAAAAAAGAAAAAAAAAAAAGCCUGAAACAGAUGAUUAAGAUGUGUUUCACAGGAAUUGCUGCCAACACUUGGGUAAUCCACUAUUUCUUGAUGCACAAAUAGUAUUAUAUUCCACACUUUUAAUAAAAUUAAAAAGGCCGAAAGAUCUCAUAAAUUAUCUCCUCAGUAGAAGCUACUAAAACCUGCUAAAUCUGUUUUGAAGUCUUAGUGUCAUACACAGUAUUUAAAAGUCAUGCAUAUCAAAAUAUCAUUUAUAAAAGGGAUAAAGCAAAUAUUUUUCUGUUUAUAAUUGGAAAAUCUUAUAUAAAAGGAUAAAGCUUGUGAUAUUUAUCUGCUUUUCUUUACUUUUUGUCUAUGCUGGUUUUUUAAAGGCCUUGGCUAUGAUUAAAUUGCUUCUUGAUCGGGUGCUGCUGAUCAGUCAUUUCAGCCCAGUCACAGAUAUCAGGAGUUGCAGUUUGGCUGUAAUUUUUUUCCCAGCUUUAAUUGUUAAUAAUUUUUCUGUGGUUGCUUUAUAAAAUGGUAGCUUAGAGUUUUACCUUGGCUUUUUGUUCUGCAGUACAAGAAAUUAGAGAAAAGAGGAUAAAACAGGUUGCAAUUUGCUGUGCUGUUACUUUUCCUAUAGGUUUUCCUGCUCUGUCCAAGGCAUGCCAACAUCUCCAGCAAAAUACAUCUGUGUGUAUCUUUAUAUUAGGAAAUUAAACAUGUCAGGGACCAUUCUGUGGCAGUAAGGCUCUUGGGCAAAAUGCUGCUCACUUGCAUAAUAUUAUAUAGUUUUACCUUCAAAAAUGAGAUGGUUGCACAGAGGAUGCCUGUUGGGAAUGGUCCUUGAUCCGUGAAAAUACCCAACCCUUUGCCAAAGAUUUGGCCAGGGGAGGGGUGGAUAGGUUGAGUCAAAAUGUGCAAGGAAUGGUCGAGCAGCAGAAGUGGUGGAGGUGUUGUUUGUAAAGCACACAAGUCCCUUUUGUCACUCCUGCUGCCAAAUACUGGUUCAGAGAUGAAUUUUUCUACUUCCAAUGUUUGGGUCCAUGUUCACUGUGUCCAUUUGGUGCACUGGUUUUUCAGAGAGGGAUGCCUUUCUCUGUCAGUUGAUGUCAGUGCAUAAUGGUGACACUUUCUGCCUCUAAAACUUUUGUUGUAGAAGUUUGAACAUAAAGUUUGGGGUCAAAGUCCCCUGUUUGUUACCCUCUGUUUAAACCUAUGCUUAUACCUCAUGGAAAGCAUCAAGACUAAAGUGUGUGUUUUAGUGCACAAACUUCAAAUUGGCUGAUUUUCUGUAUCAGAUCAGCAUAUUCCACCUGAAAAACCCGAGUCCAGUUGUAUUUAGCCAGAUCUAUGUAUUACAUGUUAAAUACUCUCUAAACUGUGCUUUAUUAUCAAAUAUAACGACAGUAAAAUAAUGUACAAUGGGAGGUCUUUUGUGCAGAGUAAUCUGCUGGAGAGACAGACAGUCUUGUCAGUAGUGAUAUAGAGAGAUAUAGAGAUCACUGUUUUUGUUGUUCCUCAGUUAUGAGUGAAUUUCUCUGCCUUAGAUAUACCUGCAAUAUAUUUAUAGAAAAUAGAGUAUUCUGCUUUCAGGUUUGGAUGGUGUGCAAGUGGUGAGCUGACUGAAGAAAAGUUCGUCUUCACGAAUGUGCUUUGAAAAGUGCAUUGAGUUCCACUGGCACGUUGCACAAAGACAAGGUCUCAAGUCUGCUAGGAGUAUUUUGAAUGGUUAUAAUGCAGAAUCAAACUCCUGUGUGCAUGCUUUAGUUCUGGUUUGUUUUGCUACAGGAAUGUCAGAGGUUCCUGAGAGGUUUCUGCUCCUUGCAGCAACAGGCUGGGCGCAGGGAGGACACCUCAGACACACAUCCUGCUUGGUUGCCAUCUGGGCUGUGGCACAAGGUUGGAGAAGGCUGAGCGUGGAAAGCCUCCCAACACGCAUCCGAAAAACAAAGCACAAAGGGACUGUUCCACAGACAUAAACAAUACGUGUGAUUUAAAAAAUGUGCUCUAUUAUUGGGAAAAGAAGAAGAAGAAGAAGAAAGAAUCUGCAGCCAAAUCCAGGAGUUCUGGGGAUAGGUUUGGGACUAUGAUGCAUGUAUAACUGGGAGAGGGAAAAUAUACAGGGCUACUGGAAAAUUGUGGAAGCCCUGAAGAAAUUUUCUGCAGCUGCCUCCCUGAUAAUGAUUGGAUAGCCCCCAUCACUGCAGCAGAUCCCACAAUUUAGAGCAGAAUAAAAAAAGCCAAAUUCCCUUAAGAAGCUGAAGUGCCUGACACAACCAAGCCAUGCUCCUGAAGCUGCCACCAGUGUGAAGUACCCCAGUUUAAGAGGAUGGCUGAAUACUCACCCUUGAGUACAACUUUGUUUCUUGAUCUAACCCAGGGUGCAGAAGUAUUUUGGGCUUGUUGACUUGCUGCUGCACCAGUGCCUGUUGUCGUGGUUCUUUCCUUUUUAGUGUGUUGCCCUUGUGUGAGAAUCUGCAUCUUUACAUCUCCAGUGGCAGUCUGGUCCGCACUGAGUUAAUAUAAAGCUCUGCAGGGAAACAAUGGGCCAGGCUGGUAUUAAAAGGAAGGGGAGAAGAGGUGACUCAAAGUUUAGGGAGCCUUAGAGAAAGUUUACUGUCUCUUGUUGCUCUCUGUUUGACGGAGUUGGCCCAUCUAAAACCAACACUAGCCAGCAGCAGUGGGAAUCCUUUUCAAUCACCAUUAGCAACACUUUUUAUUUCCAUCAUACUUGACCACAGCAGGCUGCAUCCCAGUGAAGAGCAUUCCUUUCAGAAAGCCAGCAGACAUUCAAGUGCAGCGGAUUUACUGUGUGAAAACGGCAUUUUUAGGGGCUUCUGAAAAUGUUUAAAUAAAUGCUCUUUUUUUUUUUAUUCUUUCUCACAGCUUGAUUCUCAGCUUAGAAAGCCCUGCUUGCUAAACAAUUUUAGAGUUUCCUACAGGAGCUUAGAAGUUAGGUCAACGUUCGCAAUAUAAAUGUUCAGUUGCUGCUGUGAAAUUACACAUUUCUUCAGGCCUCCAUAUUGUUAAAACAAAUGUUUGCAGCUAUUUUGUUCAGGGUGAGUGAAUUGGCGUUUAGCUAUGCAUAUUUUCGGGACGACAAAAGGAUUCUGCAGUCUUUUCAUUUCGAUGGAACUCAGCAGUAAUGUUUGCAGGGAUUUCUUCCUCUGACUAGCGGGUCAGCUUUCCACAGCGCGGCCCUCUGAGAGUUGAAAAGAGCCAAAAAAAAAAAUCUCUCCCCCCCAGUUUGGCCCUGUUCCUAAAAUUUUCCCUAUCUCGUUAAUCAGGAGACUGGUUUCAGGGCAGGGGGAGCCAGUGAAGGGACAUAGAGUGAAAGCUUAUUUGUUGGAGAGAGCUAACGAGAGUAAAGUCAGUCUCCAUUACCAAUCAUAGCUAAAGCAGGGUUACAAGGACCUGGAUGAAUUCAACUCCUAGUGCAGUGGAGCUCACUCCUUCACUCCCCAGACUUCCCUUCACUCCCCAGACCGUAUUAAAGUGGCUCUGGGUUUGUUCCUUUCCUGUGUAGAAAUGCCUGGGCUCAUGCCAACUCUGCCUGGAAUCAAAGGGAAUCUCUCUUCUGCAGUGAAUUAUGUGACGGGCAAUUAUGUGCAAAUAACUAUAAAAGUAUGGGGUUUGUCAAGUUCCUGUAAAGUCGCUAUUUAUGUUCACAAACUUUUACUGUCUUCUUCCCUGAAGCUGCAGAUUUCAGGAGCAGCUCGUGAACUUUGUGCCCUUUGGAAUUUAUUUUUUCCUGAUCCCACUUUUAGGGGUAUGGGCUGCCCCUGUGAUGGGAUUUUCGCACUCUGAUUUCACAUACCUCUCCCUACACAACCUGUAAUUGUGUUCCAGGUUAAUCCCACAUCCCUAAAUUAACAGCCCAGUCAACAGAGACAACCUUUUAGAAUUACCAGGGAGGAAUUAUCAUAUUUAGGCCCUUUUUCAGCCCACCUAUAGGAUGAAUCAUCUCCCUAAGUGAUUGUAUGUAGCUCGUUGUUAAUUAUGCAGGCUGGGUGAAUCAUCCUCUAACCGAGAUGCCACCAGUAAAAUCAGGGUCAGUCCAGGCCUGGGGUGUUCCUGCCUAAAGCUCCUCUGGGCAUUCAAAGCAAUGGGUACAAAUUUGGUUUUUAUUGAAGUGAAAACAUAAUGCAAAAUGUACUCUGAAAACCAUGUGCUGUGGAACAGUGUUCAACAUACUUCUGUUCUCGGGGAAUAAGUGUGGCAACACUUUAGGAGCUACAAACAUAAUUUGAAUAUCGGGCUUUUUAAUUGAUCCCAGUCCUGAUUAAGACAGACUUGACAUUACAUACUGUAUGAUCACUGGCACAGCAGGAGCAGUUAGGCAGAGGGGACUGUGGUGUGUUAAUGAAAGACCUAAUGGAAAUUAAAGAUAAAAUGGUGCCUCCAGGAAAUUGUGCUCCCCCCCCCCACACACAGAAGGUGAUACUGAUUUACACCAUCAGAGGAUCUCACCCCACCAUGUUUGUUUUCUUCACACUCUCCUCCUUUUACCACCCUUAUUUUCCUAGUUUCCAGUUUGUUUCUGGGUUUUCUUUUUUUCCAUUAUAUUUUACUAAUGAGGCAACAUGUUGUGAAACAAUUCCUGGGCCAGGCUCAAACAGCAAUGGAUAAUUACGUUGGGUACACAUAGCCUCAAUAUUAAUGACUCUAAAGAAAACCUCUGAAGAUUCAGAGGUGUUAUACUGCAAAGGCUCCAACUGGAUUUGGGCCAAAUGCCCCAUUCCUAUAAACAAGCUCAACUCUAUUGACUUCAGGAGAAUUAUACCUGCUUUUUUUUGUGUGCAAAUGUGCUGGAGGUGAUUCACAAAAUCAUGCCCAGCCACGUCCACUCUCUUUAGAUUUAAAUUGAGCUUGAAAUCUCACAGUGCAAACAGCAGAUUCCUUUUUUGUCUCGCAUGAAGGCCAAUGUGUUACAACUAUAAUUAAAUUGCUGAUAGAUCCCCUUAUCUCUCAGGCUGCUCCAGGAUGCAGUAAUGAGGCUCUGCUCUUGACAAACAUCAUCAUACCUCUUUCCUUGUCUCACAUCAUUUAGGCAGGUCAGGAUCUUGAUGGUGACCCAAGACAACAUUCAUCCUAUGACCAGGCUGUUCAUUCUCCUUUCAGUGAGAAGGGCAGAAAGGCCUCAGGAGUUUUUUGCUCUUCAUUUUCCGGUUAGAAGACAACUUGGAACUCAGAAAUGAAAUUCCAUUAGUAUGUGAAGAUCUAAAAUGAAAAAAAUAACUUGCACAUCUUCAGAGAUGUCAGAUAUGGGGGAAACCCAUCCUGUUGAGUUCAGCCCAGAAAUGGUAGCAGUCCCUGAGACUUAUCCAUUGGAACUUGCUUUCCUCUUGGAAAUUUUGAAACAUACAUGGAGUAGUGCUUUCCAGGACUCCUGCAACUGCAGAAAAAAAAAAAAAAAAAAUCAAUGCUUACCUCUAAUAUAUUCUGACUUAAAGUGUGCAACCUUAUUUAAAAUGCACUGCUAGAGCACAUAUUUUCAUGUAUCAUUAUUUCUAAAUGCAUGACAACCAGGUUGAAAAUCAAAUUAGCUAUGUUAAGGUGAAUAUUACAAUGUGACUACUGCCUGCUGUGCCAUGAAUGAAUCUUGUAAACACAAUCAAAUCCCUUCCCUCUCUCACACACAGAGACACAUGUGUGCCCUUGCACAAGAAAAGAGAUUCUUCACCUUCUGCCAUCACAGUGUCACAGCAGCUCAUGUUUAUUGUGAAUGACAUCUUCAGCUACAACCCAGCAUGAGCUCUGGUAUGCAGUGACAUUAAAGCUGUUUCAUGAAUAAUGAAAAAAUAAAUAUCACUUUUACUGUAGGUACACAAAAUGCUUUGUUUAACUAAAAGUGUUUGCUGAGAAAUUCCAGGUCUCUGAGGGUAGAUACUAUUUUAUUAACUGUGGAUAGAGAACUUAUUUAGACUGAGCUGUUUUCAUUAUAUUCAUAAUUUUCUCAAUUAUACAAAGGAGAGAGCAUGUGAUGAGUACUACUGGCAGGAUACAGACUUCUCUUAGAAAACCCUAAACUCUUAGAAAAAUCACAAAGCAGCAAAUCCUCUGUGCUGGAAGCUGAGAGCCUUUCAGCCACUUACAUUCUGUAUAAGGAGGUUUACAUGUGUCUACCAAGCCCAAAUUUGUGUAAGGAGACUUUUAAUCACUUAAGAGGGGCAAAAAGGCUUCAGAGACAGUAAUGCAAUUACAUAAGGGCAUAAUGCAAAAGAGAAUUCAAUUUUCUCAAUGCCAUACAAGGCAAACUUACUCCUGGACCCCAGCAAAAGACACUCAAAACACGACUGCACCACAUCCUGAGCUCUGCUGGCUGGACCCGUGUGUGCUCCUGCCAGCCCUCAGAAAGUUCAUAAUCACGAAUUUCAGGGAGGAGAAACAAGCCUACUUUGAAUUACGGGGUUAUGGUGACCAGGGUUUCAUAUAAAUGUUGUCUGCAGUGGAAAAUGUUAUAUUUUGUCCUAUUAAGGACCGAGCAAACGCGCUGUUUUUACUCAGCAGUAACACAUCAGGCAAAAAGGGGAAACUUUUCAGUGAUUUCAGGCUGAAACUUGCCAUCCUAAAAUGGAACAGCUGUUAAUGAAACACAAAUAUACUUGGUUCCAGAAGUGGAAAAGAGUCUCACUAACAACCCUUAAAAAAAAAAAAAAAAUUAAAAAAUGCUGUUAUUCCCCAUUCUUUGGAAUGUUUUAUCCAUAUUCAUAGCGAGAACCCUGAGAAAUGUUCCCAAGUGCCAAAAAGUAUGAAAACUAAUAUCAAAUACAUUGUCAAUAUCCUACUAACUAUUAAUUAGGAACUUAUCAGCAGGAAAAUACGUACUCUGAGUAGAAUUUUCUGAAUGGCAGUAUGGCAGUCAUAAAUAAUCGACCUCAUAGGUAGUGCAACUUUGAGCAUGGGCUUAAAAUUAGUGAUUUUAAAGACACAUCAUCUCUAUCAAGGAGGGUGAAUAGAUUUGGUUUCUACCUUUCACUGAGGUGAAAGGCACAAAACUGGUCUUUCCCAUAAACCUAGGUCAUCAAUUUUUUAUAUAGAGUAGUAUAUUUUAUGACUUCUUUCUUGUGAGUUCAAGCUGCCUGUAUUUCCUAUUCAUAGAGAAGUGCUCAUUUCCUGUUUAAAAACACACAUGUAUUUACUCUCACUCAUUUAACAACAUUCUAAAUGGCAGUAACAAAAAACAAUAAACAGAAAUAAUCCACCUAAUUAGUGCCUGUACACAAAGCCUCUACUCAUUCUUAUUCUUUGUAAGACAGAAAACUAAGGGCAUUUUUUUUCCCAUGUGCCAAUGCUUGGGAAAAAAAAAAAAAAAGAAAAGGAGAUAACUCUAAGGUAUGUAAGCUCUUUAAACUCCCACUACUGUCAGGUGGGCUUAGGCAGGUGGUUUAGAACUUCUCCUUACCAGCUGCAAGAAUAAAUCAUGACCUGAGAGAGGGCCAACACUGAGAUUUGACAUGUGGGAAGAGGCACAUCCCCUGAUAUGCAGGCAAAAGUUUUAAAAAAUAAGCAAAUGUAUGAGCAAGUAAACCCCAUGAACUAAUGAGGAAUGUGUCAGUCAACAGCAAUGCAAGCUGUAUUUCCAUUAUACAAGAAAGGUAAAAGUACUCUAGUAGGUCACUUAGUUACCUCAACCAGAUGGAAUCCAAAAUGUUCAGAAAAUUAAAAAUCCAUUUAUUCCUCCAAAGUUGCAUUCCAUCUGUUUUCAGACAUUUAUGGAAUCUUUUUGCAUACAGGAUAUGGCAACCACUGGUGCCUUGGAAGUGUUUCUCCUUCAUGCAGCUCACGGAAAGCCAGACUGGAUAUAGACAGCACUGAAGAAAGCCCUUUUAUUCUUUUAUUCAGGUGAUCUAGCUUGCCUUCAAAAUAUAGGAAACUAUACUUUUGUUUAAAACAAAGGAAUCAUAAAAUUUAGCGUGUUAUUAUCUGCAAAAACACAAUAGGAACUUAUAAACCUUAAAAAAAAAAAAAAAAAAGAACAGAACCAAAACAAACCCAAAUCAGGCAAUUCCUUGCUCUUUUCACCUUGAAAAUUUUAACUUUCCUGCCAGUCUGUUUCUCAUUUUCAGCUUGUGGAGACAAUAAGAAUGAUUCAGAUGCUAUGAAGGAAUGCAGCCUGGCAUGCAGUGAUCUCCACCCUGAAGAUAAAAGUGACAAAACUACCGCAGGGGUUAGGAGCUGUAGCCCUCAUCCGUCAUUUUUCAAGAAAUAUUUUAUUUCAUUCCACUACACAUUGUGCCUGGAUCUAACUUGGGUAUGGUCCCCUUCCUCCUCUCCCUGUUCCCAGCAUCUUCAGCUUCACCAGAUGGAAGGAUAUCAUCUGGCAUGCAGGCCAGGCCAAAUUUUCUGUAUAUGACACAAACAUCCACAUUUCCUGCUUCCAUAGGACCUUCUCCUCCUUGCAGCCAGUGGCUCACACAACAGUUCACUGCCCAUCAGCUUUGUCCUGCUUGGUGCAAGGAGUGUUUUGUCCCCUGGUGAAUCUCACCCACAAGCAGAGGGCUGUAUCUCUGUUUUCAGGCAGUCAUAUUCCUAUUUCUCUCCUGAUUAUCCACAGCUCACGUUAAAUCACCCACAACUUCUGCGCUGGAGCUGACUGCACCCCUUUGAGGUGAAAGACAUUCAGCAGGUAACUCUGUCCCAGGACUGUUUCUUACAGGGCAAAACCACACCAGAUUUGGUGACCUUGGAGAGUCCUCCCAUGCUACAUCAGCAGCCCCUUGCACCAGGAGCACCCUUCACGGCCAGACUGCCUCAGACUGUGUGAACGGGGGCAGGAACACGUCUGACAUCAUCUACAUCUGCAUGUUGUUCACCUCCCCAAAUCAUCACUGGCAGGUUUGGAAUGCAUCAGGUUUGACUUUGGCGUUGAGGACCAAACGUUACAAGAUCAUACUCAGUCAGCAGCAGAAGCGGAGAUUGGCUUUCCUCCUUUUUUUGGACAAACAUUC